rnacentral:rRNA from 1 species
AUGAAGGCCUCCCCACAGGCGCUACAACACGAACUCCCCCUCAUGGCGGCGACGCCGCGGCAGUGCGGCGGCCGAUUGGCGCAGGUACCGGUUCUAGGACGAGAUGGGGCCGCCGACCUCGAACUUACAAUCCUUGGCGGCGCCAGCCCAUCCCCUAAGCGCCAAGCACUGAGAGGACGUGCUCUUAUUCGGCGACAAUAUGGCUACUAUAGCGGCGUGCACAUCCAGGCAUGCCAUAUCCUUUCUCUGCUUGGACCCCUCUGUUUGAUUGACCAAGUAGGAAAACAAUUGGCCACCAGAAAUCAUGCGGACACCAAACCUCCCCUGAUUUCUGAAGGAGCAGCUUCAGCGAUGUAA